rnacentral:rRNA from 1 species
CUGGCUCAGGAUGAACGCUAGCUACAGGCUUAACACAUGCAAGUCGAGGGGCAUCAUGACGAUAGCUUGCUAUUGUCGAUGGCGACCGGCGCACGGGUGAGUAACGCGUAUCCAACCUUCCCCUUAGUAGGGCAUAGCCCGGCGAAAGUCGGAUUAAUACCCUAUGUUAUUCGUAGAGGACAUCCGAAAUGAAUCAAAGAUUAAUCGCUAAGGGAUGGGGAUGCGUCCGAUUAGGUAGUCGGCGGGGUAACGGCCCACCGAGCCUUCGAUCGGUAGGGGUUCUGAGAGGAAGGUCCCCCACACUGGUACUGAGACACGGACCAGACUCCUACGGGAGGCAGCAGUGAGGAAUAUUGGUCAAUGGACGGGAGUCUGAACCAGCCAAAGUAGCGUGCAGGACGACGGCCCUAUGGGUUGUAAACUGCUUUUAUACGGGGAUAAAGUCGCCCACGUGUGGGUGUUUGUAGGUACCGUAUGAAUAAGGACCGGCUAAUUCCGUGCCAGCAGCCGC